ACGAUGAACCACUUCGGUGGGGAUUAGUGGCGAACGGGUGAGUAACACGUGGGCAAUCUGCCCUGCACUCUGGGACAAGCCCUGGAAACGGGGUCUAAUACCGGAUAUGAGUCUCCAUCGCAUGGUGGAGGCUGUAAAGCUCCGGCGGUGCAGGAUGAGCCCGCGGCCUAUCAGCUUGUUGGUGAGGUAACGGCUCACCAAGGCGACGACGGGUAGCCGGCCUGAGAGGGCGACCGGCCACACUGGGACUGAGACACGGCCCAGACUCCUACGGGAGGCAGCAGUGGGGAAUAUUGCACAAUGGGCGAAAGCCUGAUGCAGCGACGCCGCGUGAGGGAUGACGGCCUUCGGGUUGUAAACCUUCUUUCAGCAGGGAAGAAGCGAAAGUGACGGUACCUGCAGAAGAAAGCGCCGGGCUAACUACGUGCCAGCAGCCGCGGUAAUACGUAGGGCGCGAGCGUUGUCCGGGAAUUAUUGGGCGUAAAGAGCUCGUAGGCGGCUUGUCGCGUCGGUUGUGAAAGCCCGGGGCUUAACCCCGGGUCUGCAGUCGAUACGGGCAGGCUAGAGUUCGGUAGGGGAGAUCGGAAUUCCUGGUGUAGCGGUGAAAUGCGCAGAUAUCAGGAGGAACACCGGUGGCGAAGGCGGAUCUCUGGGCCGAUACUGACGCUGAGGAGCGAAAGCGUGGGGAGCGAACAGGAUUAGAUACCCUGGUAGUCCACGCCGUAAACGGUGGGCACUAGGUGUGGGCAACAUUCCACGUUGUCCGUGCCGCAGCUAACGCAUUAAGUGCCCCGCCUGGGGAGUACGGCCGCAAGGCUAAAACUCAAAGGAAUUGACGGGGGCCCGCACAAGCGGCGGAGCAUGUGGCUUAAUUCGACGCAACGCGAAGAACCUUACCAAGGCUUGACAUACACCGGAAAACCCCUGGAGACAGGGUCCCCCUUGUGGUCGGUGUAACAGGUGGUGCAUGGCUGUCGUCAGCUCGUGUUCGUGGAGAUGUUUGGGUUAAGUCCCGCAACCGAGCGCAACCCUUGUCCCGUGUUGCCAGCAGGCCCUUGUGGUGCUGGGGACUCACGGGAGACCGCCGGGGUCAACUCGGAGGAAGGUGGGGACGACGUCAAGUCAUCAUGCCCCUUAUGUCUUGGGCUGCACACGUGCUACAAUGGCCGGUACAAUGAGCUGCGAUACCGCGAGGUGGAGCGAAUCUCAAAAAGCCGGUCUCAGUUCGGAUUGGGGUCUGCAACUCGACCCCAUGAAGUCGGAGUCGCUAGUAAUCGCAGAUCAGCAUUGCUGCGGUGAAUACGUUCCCGGGCCUUGUACACACCGCCCGUCACGUCACGAAAGUCGGUAACACCCGAAGCCGGUGGCCCA
rnacentral:rRNA from 1 species